rnacentral:tRNA from 1 species
AUCUUUUUAGUAUAAUAAAUACUUAUGACUUCCAAUCAUUUAAUCUUAGCUGAAACCUAAGAAAAGAUA